rnacentral:lncRNA from 1 species
UCAUGACCUCACGGUUCUUGAGUUCGAGCCCCGCGUCGGGCUCUGUGCUGAUGGUCGGAGCCUGGAGCCUGCUUCCGAUUCUGGGUCUCCCUCUCUCUCUCUGCCCCUCCCUGGUUCACACUGUCUCUCUCUCAAAAAUAAAUAACCAUUAAAAAAAAGUUAAAAAAUUUUUUUUCUCUCUCUCUCCUUCUGCCGCUCUCCCUGGUUGGCGCUGUCUCUCUCUCCCUCUCUUUCUGAAAACUAAAAAAAAAAAAGAUCUGCUCACUUGUACAAUGUCAGUCUGCCAAGACGGCAGGGUCCGGGGGUCUCGGAAAGAUCACUUGCAGACUCAGAAAACGGCACAGACAACAUAAGAUGCUCACAGGGGCACGAACCCAGCUUCGCGCCACUCCUGGGAUCUCCGUAGCUUGUCUGCAAAUGGCGCAGUGACUCCUGAUGCUUCUCCCGCAAGGGGCGGUGGGGGGUGGAGGAGGGCUCCCUUAGUCUCGUUGGGUAAAGGCGAUUGGCUGGUGAGGAGCCUCGGCUGUUGGGGCGGAAGCUUCCGGAAGCGCCGAGGGGCUACAAGGCGGAGGAGCGACGCGGUCGCGGUGCGAGGGCUCUCCGGCUGCUGGUGCGAGUGCGCCUGUUUGCCCGGCCACCUGCACGGGCUGCCCGGCUGCCCCGGCGGGUCCACGACGUCUCCGCAGCCGCCUGCCACGGGCCGCGUGUCGCCGUGCACUUGGAAGAAGUCGGGAAGUUCACGGUAUCGCAGUCUCUCAGGAGGAUGAUAAUAGCAGGAACCACAAUAGUACUGAGAAUGAUAACGGUGGCGGCUUCAGCGAGUUUCUGAGACGACAGAGCAUCUGUGUGAGGCCGCCUUGUCAACCGCACGCCAACAAUAUGCUGUCCCCGUCGCUCCUUCAGCCUCUGGCCUCCGAAAAUGCGCUGCACCAGUGCAGGUGUUCACUGUCUCCCUGAAUUGUCUAGCAGUCUCUUGGAAAUGCUCUCUCGAGAGGGGUCUCAAGCCGCCUUUCUAAGGUACCGGUGAAAACAAGACUGGCGAGGAGGGGGCUCUGGGCCUCAGUGCCCGGAAGGGCGUGGGGAAGCGGGCACGGGCGUGUGAUGCUGCUGAGAGGCUCCAGCAGUAGGACUUCUCCGAGAGGUCAUUAGCCAGUACGCAGCACACUUUAAAAAAGUGAGCAUUCCUUCGAUUCAGCAACCCUACCUCCUAGAGGGAAUAAUUACACAAAGGAGGUAGGAUGUGUCUGUGAGAAUGCCUGUCAGGGCGAUUUAUAAAGUCUUAAAAAUUGGAAAGACUCUAAAUAUACCAGUAGUUAAGUAAAUAUGACACACCCGUUAAAUAAAAUGGAAUACUGUACCA